UGGGGAAUAUUGCACAAUGGGGGAAACCCGUGAUGUCAGCGACGCCGCGUGAAGGAAGAAGUAUCUCGGUAUGUAAACUUCUAUCAGCAGGGAAGAUAGUGACGGUACCUGACUAAGAAGCCCCGGCUAACUACGUGCC
rnacentral:rRNA from 1 species